rnacentral:rRNA from 1 species
GAUGAACGCUGGCGGCGUGCUUAAUACAUGCAAGUCGAGCGAACAGACGAGGAGCUUGCUCCUCUGACGUUAGCGGCGCACGGGUGAGUAACGCGUGGAUACUCUACCUAUCAUUCUGGGAUAACUUCGGGACAGCGGCGAUAAUACCGUAUAAUAUAUUGAACCGCAUGGGUCAAUAGUGAAAGACGGUUUUGCUGUCACUUAUAGAUGGAUCCGCGCCGCAUUAGCUAGUUGGUAAGGUAACGGCUUACCAAGGCAACGAUGCGUAGCCGACCUGCGAGGGUGAUCGGCCACACUGGAACUGAGACCCGGUCCAGACUCCUACGGGAGGCAGCAGUAGGGAAUCGGCCGCAAUGAGCGAAAGCCUGACGGAGCAACGCCGCGUGAGUGAUGAAGGUCUUCGGAUCGUAAAACUCUGUUAUUAGGGAAGAACAAAUGUGUAAGUAACUAUGCACGUCUUGACGGUACCUAAUCAGAAAGCCACGGCUAACUACGUG